rnacentral:rRNA from 1 species
CUCCGUCCAUGGGCGCAGCUGAUCAGCCAUGCCGCGUGAGUGAAGAAGGCCUUCGGGUUGUAAAGCUCUUUCGCCCGGAACGAAAACCUAUCCGCUAAUACCGGGUGGGGAUGACGGUACCUUGAUAAGAAGCACCGGCUAACUACGUGCCAGCAGCCGCGGUAAUAA